GUGCCUUAAGAGCAUUCGGUGGAUGCCUUGGCAUCGAGAGGCGAUGAAGGACGUGGUACGCUGCGAAAAGUCACGGGGAGGUGCGAACAACCUUUGAUCCGUGAAUGUCCGAAUGGGGAAACCCACCCGUUAAGGGUACCCGCAAGGGAGCGAACCGGGGGAAGUGAAACAUCUCAGUACCCCGAGGAAAAGAAAUCAACCGAGAUUCCGCCAGUAGUGGCGAGCGAACGCGGAAUAGCCCAAACCAGUAUUGUUACGGCAAUGCUGGGGUUGUAGGACUGCGACAUUCGAGCCAGAAUGAACUAGAACUGUUUGGAAAGACAGGCCAGAGACGGUGAUAGCCCGGUAUAGGUAAAGCAUGGUAAGAUAGCAGUAUCCUGAGUAGUGCGGGGCACGUGAAACCCUGUAUGAAUUAGUCGGGACCAUCCGAUAAGGCUAAAUACUCCUGAGAGACCGAUAGUGAACUAGUACCGUGAGGGAAAGGUGAAAAGUACCCUGAACAAGGGAGUGAAAUAGAACCUGAAACCGGAUGCCUACAAACAGUUGAAGCCCAAGGU
rnacentral:rRNA from 1 species